ACCUGGAGUUAGGAAGACCUGAAUUUAAAUCCAGCCUCACACAUUUACUAGCUGUGUGACCCUGGGCAGGUCAGUUAACCUCUAUUUGCCUCACUUUCCUCAUCAAUAAAAUGGGGGUAAUAGUACCUACCUCAUAUGGUUGUUGUGAGGAUCAAAA
rnacentral:snoRNA from 1 species